rnacentral:rRNA from 1 species
UACGUAGGGUGCAAGCGUUGUCCGGAAUUAUUGGGCGUAAAGAGCUCGUAGGCGGUCUGUCGCGUCUGCUGUGAAAACUCGGGGCUUAACCCCGGGCCUGCAGUGGGUACGGGCAGACUAGAGUGCGGUAGGGGAGACUGGAAUUCCUGGUGUAGCGAUGAAAUGCGCAGAUAUCAGGAGGAACACCGGUGGCGAAGGCGGGUCUCUGGGCCGUAACUGACGCUGAGGAGCGAAAGCAUGGGGAGCGAACAGG